rnacentral:rRNA from 1 species
UACAGAGGUCUCAAGCGUUGUUCGGAUUCAUUGGGCGUAAAGGGCGCGUAGGCGGCUCGUGAAGUCGGAUGUGAAAGCCCUCGGCUUAACCGAGGAAGUGCAUCCGAAACUGAGUAGCUAGAGUACUAAAGAGGGUCGCGGAAUUCCCGGUGUAGAGGUGAAAUUCGUAGAUAUCGGGAGGAACACCGGUGGCGAAGGCGGCGACCUGGGUAGAUACUGACGCUGAGGCGCGAAAGCGUGGGGAGCAAACAGG